GACGCUGGCGGCAUGCUUACACAUGCAAGUCGCACGGACCCUUCGGGGUGAGUGGCGGACGGGUGAGUAUCGCGUAGGGAUCUAUCCACGGGUGGGGGAUAACAUCGGGAAACUGGUGCUAAUACCGCAUGAUACCUGAGGGUCAAAGGCGCAAGUCGCCUGUGGAGGAGCCUGCGUUCGAUUAGCUUGUUGGUGGGGUAAAGGCCUACCAAGGCGAUGAUCGAUAGCUGGUCUGAGAGGAUGAUCAGCCACACUGGGACUGAGACACGGCCCAGACUCCUACGGGAGGCAGCAGUGGGGAAUAUUGGACAAUGGGCGAAAGCCUGAUCCAGCAAUGCCGCGUGUGUGAAGAAGGUCUUCGGAUUGUAAAGCACUUUCGACGGGGACGAUGAUGACGGUACCCGUAGAAGAAGCCCCGGCUAACUUCGUGCCAGCAGCCGCGGUAAUACGAAGGGGGCUAGCGUUGCUCGGAAUGACUGGGCGUAAAGGGCGCGUAGGCGGUUUACACAGUCAGAUGUGAAAUUCCAGGGCUUAACCUUGGGGCUGCAUUUGAUACGUGUAGACUAGAGUGUGAGAGAG
rnacentral:rRNA from 1 species